AUGUUACUGCUGCAGGUUCUUAUUGUGGCUUCAGUCUGGUCAUAUGGAGCUGCACAAGUACAACUGACACAAACUCAGAUAUCCAUCACAAAGAUACCAAAGAAAACCGUAAGAAUGGACUGUAAAAUUUCUGGUAUUGACGUUGGCAGUGCCUAUAUACACUGGUACCGACAGAGACCUGGAGAAGCUCCAGAGUGGCUGUUGUAUUAUAAGACACAAAACGAUCAAUCCAAUUUUGACAAGGACAAGUUUAGCAUUGACAAGACAUCUGGAAAACCCAUCUGUACCCUAACAGUAGACAAACUAACCUACAAUGACACUGCUACUUAUUACUGUGCCACCUGGGAUCACAGUGUUAGAAAGCCAUACACAGUUUGUACAAAAACUUCUCUAUUCUGA